GACAGAGGGUGCAAACGUUGUUCGGAAUUACUGGGCAUAAAGCGCGUGUAGGCUGCUCGGAAAGUCGGAUGUGAAAGCCCUGGGCUUAACCUAGGAAGUGCAUUCGAAACUUCCGAGCUGGAGUUCUGGAGAGGAAGGCGGAAUUCUCGGUGUAGAGGUGAAAUUCGUAGAUAUCGAGAGGAACACCGGUGGCGAAGGCGGCCUUCUGGACAGUGACUGACGCUGAGACGCGAAAAGCGUGGGGAGCAAACAGG
rnacentral:rRNA from 1 species